GCUGAGCGCGGUGGUGCGUGCCUGUAGUCCCAGCUACUCCGGAGGCUGAGGCGGGAGGAUCGCUUGAGCCCAGGAGUUCUGGGCUGUAGUGCGCUAUGCGGAUUGGUUGUCUGCACUAAGUUCAGCAUCGAUACGGUGACCUCCGGGGAGCGGAGACCUCCGGGGAGCGGGGACCACCAGGUUGCCUAAGGAGGGGUGAACCGGCCCAGGUCGGAAACAGAGCAGGUCAAAACUCCGGUGCUGAUCAGUAGUGGGACUGCGCCUUUGAAUAGCCACUGCACUCCAGCCUGAGCAGCAUAACGAGAUCCUGUCUCUU
ensembl:misc_RNA Metazoa_SRP Metazoan signal recognition particle RNA